UUAAGCGAAUAAGAGCGCAGGGUGGAUGCCUUGGCACUAAGAGCCGAUGAAGGACGUGAUAAGCUGCGAAAAGCUUCGGGGAGGAGCAAAUAUCCAUCGAUCCGGAGAUAUCCGAAUGGGGAAACCCGGCAGAGAAGACCUCUGUCAUCCAUACGCCAAUCCAUAACGUAUGGAAGGGAACCCGGUGAACUGAAACAUCUAAGUAGCCGGAGGAAAAGAAAGAAACAUCGAUUCUGGGAGUAGCGGCGAGCGAAACCGGAGGAGCCUAAACCAGCGUGCGUGCAUGCUGGGGUUAAGGACUGCAACAAGUGACCGGAAGGUUAACAGAAUGGUUUUGGGAAAGCCAGCCAUAGAGGGUGAAAGCCCCGUAUGUGAAAACCGGAAGGAGCGGCAGGAUCCAGAGUACUACGAGACACGUGGAACCUUGUAGGAAAUCGGGGGGACCACCCCCCAAGGCUAAAUACUCCUUAGUGACCGAUAGCGCAUAGUACUGUGAAGGAAAGGUGAAAAGGACCCCGGGAGGGGAGUGAAAGAGAACCUGAAACCCUGUGUUUACAAGCUGUGGAACAUCAUUAUUCGAUGAACCGCGUACUUUUUGUAGAACGGUCCGGCGAGUUACGCUUACUGGCAAGGUUAAGCACUGAAGGUGCGGAGCCGGAGGGAAACCAAGUCUGAAUAGGGCGAUGAGUCAGUAGGAGUAGACCCGAAACCGGGUGAUCUAUCCAUGUCCAGGUUGAAGCUGCCGUAAGAGGUAGUGGAGGACCGAACGCACAUCCGUUGAAAAGGGUGGCGAUGAGGUGUGGAUAGGGGAGAAAUUCCAAUCGAACCCGGAGAUAGCUGGUUCUCCUCGAAAUAGCUUUAGGGCUAGCCUCGUGAGAGUCAGGCGGAGGUAGAGCACUGAAUACCCGAGGGGGCGUCAAAGCUUACCAAAGGUUAUCAAACUCCGAAUGCCGCGCUGAUGCUUCACGGGAGUCAGACUACACGAGAUAAGUUGGGUGGUCAAAAGGGAAACAGCCCAGACCUGCAGCUAAGGUCCCAAAGUGCGUGUUAAGUGGAAAAGGAUGUGGGAUUUCGAAGACAACCAGGAUGUUGGCUCAGAAGCAGCCACACAUUCAAAGAGUGCGUAAUAGCUCACUGGUCGAGAGGUCCUGCGCCGAAAAUGUCCGGGGCUCAAACACGCCACCGAAGCUCAGGAAUGUAUUUAUACAUUGGUAGAGGAGCAUUGUCAGUGCACUGAAGCUGUACCGGUAAGGAGCAGUGGAGCGCUGAGAAGAGAGAAUGCCGGAAUGAGUAGCGAGAAAGAGGUGAGAAUCCUCUUGGCCGAAUAUCCAAGGAUUCCGGGGUAAAGCUGAUCUGCCCCGGGUAAGUCGGGACCUAAGGCGAGGCAGAAAUGCGUAGCCGAUGGACAGCAGGUGGAGAUUCCUGCACUGCCAUAUAUCAGAAAUGUGGGGACGCAUCAGGAAAGUGUGGGCCGGGAAAGGAAAGACCGGUGCAAGCGGAGGAGGGGACAUGCAGGCAAAUCCGCAUGUCAACCCAAGAGCGUUAUGCGGAGCGAAGAAUAGUAGCGAAGCACACGGACAGGGUGCCGAGAAAAGCCGCUAUUGUGUAUAUGGUACCCGUACCGUAAACCGACACAGGUGGAUGAGGAGAGAAUCCUAAGGCCGGCGGGAGAAGCAUUGUUAAGGAACUCGGCAAAAUGGCCCCGUAACUUAGGGAUAAGGGGUGCCACAGUGAUGUGGCCGCAGAGAAUAGGCUCAAGCAACUGUUUAGCAAAAACACAGGUCUAUGCGAAACCGAGAGGUGAGGUAUAUGGGCUGACGCCUGCCCGGUGCUGGAAGGUUAAGAGGAGAGGUCAGGAAACGAAGCCUUGAAUUGAAGCCCCAGUAAACGGCGGCCGUAACUAUAACGGUCCUAAGGUAGCGAAAUUCCUUGUCGGGUAAGUUCCGACCCGCACGAAAGGCGUAAUG
rnacentral:rRNA from 1 species